CCUACGGGAGGCAGCAGUAAGGAAUAUUGGUCAAUGGACGCAAGUCUGAACCAGCCAUGCCGCGUGGAGGAUGAAGGCCUCUGGGUUGUAAACUUCCGAGAACCUAUCUUCGGUACUCGAUGAAUAAGCACCGGCUAACUCCGUGCCAGCAGCCGCGGUAAUACGGAGGGUGCAAGCGUUAUCCGGAUUCACUGGGUUUAAAGGGUGCGUAGGCGGGUUGGAAAGUCAGUGGUGAAAUCUUCAAGCUUAACUUGGAAACUGCCGUUGAUACUAUCAAUCUUGAAUAUUGUGGAGGUAAGCGGAAUAUGUCAUGUAGCGGUGAAAUGCUUAGAUAUGACAUAGAACACCGAUAGCGAAGGCAGCUUGCUACCAUAAUUGACGCUGAGGCACGAAAGCGUGGGGAUCAAACAGGAUUAGAUACCCUAGUAGUC
rnacentral:rRNA from 1 species